rnacentral:rRNA from 1 species
UGGGGAAUUUUGGACAAUGGGCGAAAGCCUGAUCCAGCAAUGCCGCGUGUGUGAAGAAGGCCUUCGGGUUGUAAAGCACUUUUGUCCGGAAAGAAAUCCUUGGCUCUAAUACAGUCGGGGGAUGACGGUACCGGAAGAAUAAGCACCGGCUAACUACGUGCCAGCAGCCGCGGUAAUACGUAGGGUGCAAGCGUUAAUCGGAAUUACUGGGCGUAAAGCGUGCGCAGGCGGUUUGCUAAGACCGAUGUGAAAUCCCCGGGCUCAACCUGGGAACUGCAUUGGUGACUGGCAGGCUAGAGUAUGGCAGAGGGGGGUAGAAUUCCACGUGUAGCAGUGAAAUGCGUAGAGAUGUGGAGGAAUACCGAUGGCGAAGGCAGCCCCCUGGGCCAAUACUGACGCUCAUGCACGAAAGCGUGGGGAGCAAACAGGAUUAGAUACCUUGGUAGUCCACGCCCUAAAACGAUGUCAACUAGUUGUUGGGGAUUCAUUUCCUUAGUAACGUAGCUAACGCGUGAAGUUGACCGCCUGGGGAGUACGGUCGCAAGAUUAAAACUUAAAGGAAUUGACGGGGUCAUAGCUGUUCCU